CGGAGUAAUGCGUGACCAACCUGCCCCAUGCUCCAGAAUAGCUCUUGGAAACGGGUGGUAAUGCUGGAUGCUCCAACUUGACGCAUGUCUUGUUGGGAAAGUGUUAGUGGCAUGGGAUGGGGUCGCGUCCUAUCAGCUUGUAGGCGGGGUAAUGGCCCACCUAGGCUUCGACGGGUAGCCGGCCUGAGAGGGCGGACGGCCACAUUGGGACUGAGAUACGGCCCAGACUCCUACGGGAGGCAGCAGCU
rnacentral:rRNA from 1 species